GAGUUUGAUCCUGGCUCAGGAUGAACGCUGGCGGCGUGCCUAAUACAUGCAAGUCGAGCGAACAGACGAGGAGCUUGCUCCUCUGACGUUAGCGGCGGACGGGUGAGUAACACGUGGAUAACCUACCUAUAAGACUGGGAUAACUUCGGGAAACCGGAGCUAAUACCGGAUAAUAUAUUGAACCGCAUGGUUCAAUAGUGAAAGACGGUUUUGCUGUCACUUAUAGAUGGAUCCGCGCCGCAUUAGCUAGUUGGUAAAGUAACGGCUUACCAAGGCAACGAUGCGUAGCCGACCUGAGAGGGUGAUCGGCCACACUGGAACUGAGACACGGUCCAGACUCCUACGGGAGGCAGCAGUAGGGAAUCUUCCGCAAUGGGCGAAAGCCUGACGGAGCAACGCCGCGUGAGUGAUGAAGGUCUUCGGAUCGUAAAACUCUGUUAUUAGGGAAGAACAAAUGUGUAAGUAACUAUGCACGUCUUGACGGUACCUAAUCAGAAAGCCACGGCUAACUACGUGCCAGC
rnacentral:rRNA from 1 species